UACGUAGGGGGCAAGCGUUGUCCGGAUUUAUUGGGCGUAAAGAGCGUGUAGGCGGCCUGACAGGUCUGCUGUGAAAACUCGAGGCUCAACCUCGAGAUGUCGGCGGAAACCGUCUGGCUAGAGUCCGGAAGAGGAGAGUGGAAUUCCUGGUGUAGCGGUGAAAUGCGCAGAUAUCAGGAAGAACACCUAUGGCGAAGGCAGCUCUCUGGGACGGUACUGACGCUGAGACGCGAAAGCGUGGGGGGCGAACCGG
rnacentral:rRNA from 1 species